rnacentral:lncRNA from 1 species
AUGGGAGUGGGAAUUUUGCUCUCUUGGAUUGUCAGACUGCAGGAUUUUUUUGCUGAGGAGCCCCUAAAUUCCCAUCUCAUGGGAAUUCUCCUUGUCCUUGUGUUUCAGGGUGAACCAGGGGAUUCAGGAAUCAGGGGUCCCCGUGGGAGGAGUGGCCUCAAAGGUGACAGAGGAGACACAGGAGAGCCAGGAAAACCUGGUUUGCCAGGCCCUGUGGGGCUCCAUGGGGUUCCUGGACUGCCUGGACCACAAGGAGAAAAGGGAAUGGCAGGAAUUGGCAUUCCUGGCACUGCUGGCAUGAAGGGGGAGGAAGGAGAGCAGGUGGGCUGAGAUUUGCAUUAAAAUCCUCUCAGAGUGUUCAGCGUCUCCAAAGUCUCCUCCAAUAUUUAGGAUUUCCUUGGGAUCCCGUGGUUCCACAUGGAGAGGGUGAGAGAAGGGAAGAUUUAGGGUUUAAAAUCAGAGAUUUCACUGUUUCCUCUGUUGUUUUCAGGGAAUGAUGGGACCUCCAGGAGCACCAGGACCAAAGGUGGGUGCUGAAAGCCUGAACCCCAGUUGCUGGGCCUGGAAUUCAGGUUCCAAGGAAAUUUUCUGUCCCUAACCAGCAUCAUAAUGAAUCAUCAUAGUAAUUUCUGUGGGAAUUAUUGGAU